AGAGUUUGAUCCUGGCUCAGGAUGAACGCUGGCGGCGUGCCUAAUACAUGCAAGUCGAACGAGGUGCUUUUGUAGCAAUACGAAAGUAUCCUAGUGGCGAACGGGUGAGUAACGCGUGGGUAACCUACCCUUGAAUUGGGGAUAACUCCGCGAAAGCGGGGCUAAUACCGAAUAACAUUUCGAGGUCCUCGGACCUUGAAAUCAAAGAUGGCCUCUGCAUGCAAGCUAUCGUUUAAGGAUGGGCCCGCGUACCAUUAGCUAGUUGGUGGGGUAAAAGCCUACCAAGGCUACGAUGGUUAGCUGGUCUGAGAGGAUGGCCAGCCACACUGGAACUGAGACACGGUCCAGACUCCUACGGGAGGCAGCAGUGGGGAAUCUUGCGCAAUGGGGGAAACCCUGACGCAGCAACGCCGCGUGGGUGAUGAAGGCCUUCGGGUCGUAAAGCCCUGUCAGGUGGGAAGAAACAUGUUGAUGCCAAUACCAUCAACACUUGACGGUACCACCGGAGGAAGCACCGGCUAACUCCGUGCCAGCAGCCGCGGUAAUACGGAGGGUGCAAGCGUUGUUCGGAAUUAUUGGGCGUAAAGCGCGUGUAGGCGGUCAUGUAAGUCAGAUGUGAAAGCCUUCCGCUUAACGGGAGAAGUGCAUUUGAAACUGCAUGACUAGAGUACGGGAGAGGAGAGUGGAAUUCCCGGUGUAGAGGUGAAAUUCGUAGAUAUCGGGAGGAACACCAGUGGCGAAGGCGGCUCUCUGGAUCGAUACUGACGCUGAGACGCGAAAGCGUGGGGAGCAAACAGGAUUAGAUACCCUGGUAGUCCACGCUGUAAACGAUGGGCACUAGGUGUAGGAAGUAUUGACCCCUUCUGUGCCGAAGCUAACGCAUUAAGUGCCCCGCCUGGGGAGUACGGCCGCAAGGUAAAACUCAAGGAAUGACGG
rnacentral:rRNA from 1 species